rnacentral:rRNA from 1 species
UACGAAGGGGGCUAGCGUUGCUCGGAAUCACUGGGCGUAAAGCGCACGUAGGCGGCUUUUUAAGUCAGGGGUGAAAUCCUGGAGCUCAACUCCAGAACUGCCUUUGAUACUGAGAAGCUUGAGUCCGGGAGAGGUGAGUGGAACUGCGAGUGUAGAGGUGAAAUUCGUAGAUAUUCGCAAGAACACCCGUGGCGAAGGCGGCUCUCUGGGACGGUACUGACGCUGAGACGCGAAAGCGUGGGGAGCGAACAGG